ACGCCGGGAGAGUUCCAGGAAGCGACGCCAGGAGAAGGUCGGCCACCGGACCGGGAGUCGGGUUCCGGACCUGAGCCACCAGGACUUCACCCGACCGGGGCCUCCUGCUAGCCCGUUCCUGUGCGUCGCCUGCCUACCUGAGCGUGCCGCCAGCUGCUCAAGGCCGGUGAGCUUCUGCGCCCGUGGGCAGGACGAGACCAGUCGGGCUACGGACCCGAGUUCUACGCCAGCUGCCCGGCCAGAACGCCGCCCCCGUCUGUCGAGCCGCCUGCUGCCCGAGGCCGGCGUUCGAGCUUCUGUGCCCGUGAGCACGACGAAAGCAGUCGGGCUACGGGCUCGAGCUCUAAACCUAGCUGCCCGGCCAGAACGCCGCCGCCGUCUGCUCGUGCCACCAAGCCACCUGCUUUACCUCUCCAUGCCAGAGCUGGCGCGCUGCGGUCGCCCGGUCAACCAACUUGCACAACGACCUUUGAUUGCCUGCUGUACAAGGUGCAUGUUCUGCGACGCCACGUAGUGCCGACGCCAGUCGGCGAAAAGCGUGCACCUAGGGUGGCGGGUACCGCAAGCUCACCUUGGUACCUGUAGGCAGGACUAUCAGGUCUCCACCAUGUGGUCCUUCGGGGAAAUCAAGAUCUUUUUUUUGAGCAUUGACAGCUCGAGCAAACAAGAGUGCAACCAGGUGGAGAGUGGCGACAGUGCUUUUCUGCUUCUUCAGCAGACUGCUGCUGAGGCGGCUCGGAUUCGGCCCCCAUGGAAUAGUACCCGGGACGUUUGCGGCACUCCUGAGGGAUGCUAUGCUCCAUGUGGACCAUGGAAUGCUCCACGUCAUCGGAGCUGUAGAAGCAUAUGCAAUCCAAGGAUUCAGUGUGCGUCAGAAAGCGUUCAUCGUGACGCUUCUCUACUCAGUGGUGGUGUCCAUUCUUUUCUAGUUCUUUUUUUUCGUUUGAAUAAAUUUUUUUUCUGAAAUUAUA